UUUCCCCCAGAAUGAGCGAUUGUGAGACCUCACGGACCAACUGAAGUCGCUCGCGUUAACCUCGCAUCAUUGACGCCGGUGCAUCGUCGAUGAGGGAGAAGGAUCACCUUCAAUCGGUAACGCGUGGUCGACGUAGAACAAGAAUCAGUCUCAAUCGAAAAUCCACCGUCGGCGAAAAGCGAGAGUCAAUCUUCAAUCGGAAAUGCGUUGUUGAUGAAAAUUAAUCGUUGACGAUGAUUAGGGUGGAGCGAUGCGUCACCGCUUGAAGUGGAACGCAGAACGACGAUGCUCGAGUCGAAAGAUGAAGAGCGGAAGCGAAUCAAUUCCGAAAAGAUUACAACUCUGAGAUGACCUGCUGGAAUGGAAGGUGGCUGCUCCAAGCUUCAAGACAACCUGUUUUCGUGACUAAGUCCAAAGUGAUUUCAUCCUAAUUGCUUGGUUUUGGUCAUUAGGAACCUAUUUCCAUCUGUAGCAAUUUUUUACUGUAAUUACUUAGUUUAGUUUUUUUUAGACAAAAUGUGUGUUUGGAUUAUUUGGGACUUAUUGAAUUAAAUUUUAAUUAUGUAAUUA